AUUAAGAUAAUUUCAUUUAAAGAUAUUAUUUUAAAAAGUGAGGCCUUUACUUGUUUAGAAAAUUAAAGAUUUGAAAUAAUGUAAGUCGACUUAGUCUAAUACAAAAUAAAUAGAGAGAGAGAGAGAGAGAGUAAACGAAGGAAGAAUCAAGAUUUAUUAUUUAGGAAUAAAAUUUAGUUUCUGUACACACAUGUUCAUCGACUAAACUCCAUAAAGCAAGAACAUAAAGGCAUUAAGAGAUAACUUCAGUACUGUUCCAGAUCCAGCUUGUUCCAUCCUCUAUGACGAUCCCAACAUUGAUUACCUUUUCGGAUUUAUCAAACCCAGUCCAACCACCAUACCUGCACAAAAAAGAUGUCAAAAGGGGGCCGACAAGAAAAGGUUAAACAGAAGUUGCAUUAGUUUCAACAGAAACCAAAGUAGCAUGAAAUUUUGGUUUCAGACAAGCAGAACCUUCAAUUUUUUUCUU